rnacentral:rRNA from 1 species
GGCGCCCAAAGGUUCUCUCAGAAUGGUUGGAAAUCAUUCAUUGAGUGUAAAGGCAGAAGAGAGCUUGACUGCGAGACAGACAGGUCGAGCAGGGACGAAAGUCGGGCUUAGUGAUCCGGUGGUACCGUAUGGAAGGGCCAUCGCUCAACGGAUAAAAGCUACCCUGGGGAUAACAGGCUUAUCUCCCCCAAGAGUCCACAUCGACGGGGAGGUUUGGCACCUCGAUGUCGGCUCAUCGCAUCCUGGGGCUGUAGUCGGUCCCAAGGGUUGGGCUGUUCGCCCAUUAAAGCGGUACGCGAGCUGGGUUCAGAACGUCGUGAGACAGUUCGGUCCCUAUCCGUCGCGGGCGUAGGAAAUUUGAGAGGAGCUGUCCUUAGUACGAGAGGACCGGGAUGGACAUACCGCUGGUGUACCAGUUGUGCCGCCAGGCGCAUCGCUGGGUAGCUAUGUAUGGAUGAGAUAAACGCUGAAAGCAUCUAAGUGUGAAACUCGCCUCAAGAUGAGAUUUCCCAUUCCUAUAUGGAAGUAAGACCCCUGAGAGAUGAUCAGGUAGAUAGGCUGGAAGUGGCAGCGUUGUGAGACGUGAAGCGGACCAGUACUAAUCGGUCGAGGACUUAACCAAG